rnacentral:ribozyme from 1 species
AGAAGAAAAAGAAAUGUCGGUUGCUGGUAUUGACUUUGGAAAUCUCAAUAUGUUGAUUGCUCAAACCGCCAAGGGCGGCGUUGAUGUAAU